ensembl:snRNA U6 U6 spliceosomal RNA
GUGCUCACUUCAGCAGCACAUAUACUAAAAUUGGAACAAUACAGAAAAGAUUCAUAUGGCCCUUGUGCAAGGACAACAUGCAAGUUUAUGAAGCAUUUCAUAUUUUU